GCCUGCCAAGCUUUCCCCAGCAGCUCUCUGGCCUUUGGCAUAUGCACCAAAGGUGCACAAGGACAGAUAGCACGAAAACAGGACAGGAAGAUGGAAACUGGAUGAAAGAGCAUCGCUUGCAUAUUCACCCCCAGCAGCAGGUCUGGUUUAGCUUUCAACUCACCCCCGAGUUCUGCAGCGCCAGAAGUGUCCAUGUAGCAGAACAUCACGUGCACACCAACCUUGGCACUCAGCACCCGAAGUGUGUCCAGACACCUGCCUGCCUGCCCGGCACAGCUGAUCAGGACCAGGCUUCCAGGCGAGGAGCCAGGUGCUCCAAGACCAGCCCUACACUGCGAGGCAACCAGAGAUGUAGGCACCCUUUCCUCAGGUCACCCAAGCAGGUGAGGGCACCCUAGGUGGGACACAGGCUGCUCAUGUGGUGUGAGCUGCUUCUGGUACAAUGCACCUUUGGUCUGCCACCUUUGAUCUCUAGUGGGGACAGACCAGGUGUGUCUUCACAGAAGGUUCUUGCUGUAUUUCAGUUCUGAGUGCAGCUGGAUCAAAAAUACAGAAACACCGAAGAACAUCAUUGAACCGUGUAAAAAAGGGCUGUAAGAAACCUUGAGACACCAUCCCCCAAGAAGGACAAGAGCAACUUUAUCAAGAGGGAGAAAGAAAAACUUAAACUUCAAUACAGAAAAUGCAGAUAAAUGAAGGAUAAUCAAAUUUGAGAGGAAGAAGGUAUCAGCCAACUGUUACCGGAUCUUAGGGAGAGGAACAUGCGAUUUGACAGAUCUGCUUCCCUGACAAGAAAAGUCAAGCUGUUUAGAGAUGAAGGUACUGGUAAAAUUGCCACUUGCACAAACCCCAGCUGCACUUUUGUUCUUCAAUUUUAUCAACAGGAAUUUGAAAACCUGGAAUAAACUCAGCAAGCAAGUUAAGAAAAAGGAGGUUCAAAGGAGUUAUCUCUGACCUAAUUGUCUACGAACACUUUUGAUAUAUAUUUAUGUUCCACUUGCUCCUCUGUUUCCGUGCCAUAAGAAGUCAAACCGGCCAGCUAAGGGGAAUGAAUCCCAAGCUUGCUUGAGGAUCAGGACUUUAUCAGAGGCUUUGUGUGGGGCACCAAAAUACUUUAGUUCUGCACCAUCUUGGCCCUUCUCCUGCUUACUUCUCUCUGGAAUCUACGAAAGCGGGGUAAGACUGCCAUAACCUACAUUUCCACACUUGAAGUUUAAAUCAGACCUACGCUCUUCUCUUUGUGUAACAUCACCUUAUCUUGAAGUGUAGUUCAAUGGGCAGAGCUGGAAUGCAUCAGAAUUGGGUUGAGUUUCCUACUGUGCCCUAGGCUCCACAGAUAGUGCUAAAGAAAUCAUGUAGUCUGAAGACAUAAAAUAGGGAUAAUAAUAACUCCUUCCAUUAGAGGUAAGGGUCUCAGGAUAAGUACAGUAGAGGGUAUGAGUAGCCAUAUGUGACCAAGGAUGAAGCAUAUCAAAGCACAGAUAUGUAUUGUCAUCAGAAAGGGGAACAGAUUCAGAGACAAGAGCUUGAAAACUGCCUACCCAUGCUGUAGUCAUUAAAGCCAUCCUGAAGGCAGGCAGGGGAGAGGUAAAAAUUAGAUGUGCCCCUGAUGCUUUGGCUUUUUGUGCUUUCUGCAUUUGAAACAAGUUGUUGGAAGCUACAAAGCACCAGAAGCAGUGCUCUUUGCCCAGUAUGACCAGAACAAUCCUGCUCAAUGCCGUUUGUGCCAAGAAGGAAAGGUCAGAUAUGACCUGUGACCCCUUUCUAAUGUCAGUGGGAGGUGCCUGUGUAGGAAAAAUUAAAAGCUUGAAAGAUACUCCUUGUUGCAAAACAUUCCUCUGAGGAACUGUGCAGAGCAGAAUAUGGAAGUGAGGGAGAAAGCUUCAGUGUUGGGAAAAGACACCCAUCCUACAUUGCAGCAGUCUGUAAUACUUAGAGAAGGUUUCUUUUUACACUGAUGAAGCAAAUCUAGAGGAACAUGUAAAAGUAAAGCCUGUCAAAUAUAGAGGCCAACUGAUUUCAACACAUAAAUGAAGUUGCUAGUUCUCAUGUCUCAUGGGCACUGUUGGCUUUUUUAUUUUAGCACAAUGUACUAAAAGGUUGUUUUGGUACAAUAGAGUACACAUUUUAAAAAGUCUGAAAAUGGAACAGACCUGUAGGUUGUUCAAUUGUCUGCAGAAGAUUUUGUUGUAAAAUCUGGGACCAGAUAUGAUAUUCAAACACAAAAUACAAACCACCUUCCAGCAUCAUACCUCAGAAGUCAUUAAAUGAUCAUAUUUUUAACCAAGGAUAAAUUUAGGAGAAAGGCUAAGCUUUACUGAGAUUCUCAGUUACAAAUGUGUCAUGUUUGCCUUCAUAAAAGAUAAAACAAGCAAGAUUUGAUCACAGUUAAAUUGAUUAAAUUAAGUUAAUCAUUUCUCUUAACUAAGGUGUAGAAUCUAAUAGGAAACAGUUCAGACUCCUUCCUUCCGUGUAUAUCUGGACAAUCUCUGCUCAUUUCUGAUAAUUCAGAUAAUAUUCUUUACAACAUUUAUAACAUUUAUUUUCCCAAUUUUGUCAAAAGCAGGAAUUUAUUUGGCAAAAGUAUUGACAUUUCUAAUUUACUGCAUAUAACAAAGAAGUAGUAUAAGAGCCGAUAGUCAUGAAAAUAUGCAUCCAGCAUUCUGUCCUUUGCUUUACAUAGGAUUAUUUUCAUCCUUCCCUCUGUGCAGAGACUGGGAGAGCUUCUCCAAAACUUUGUAAGAAUGCAUAUGCUAAAUAUGAGAUCAAAACAAAACUAGAAUGGGGAAGCAGCAGGAAAUCAGGAUGCAUACUCUUUGCCAUUUUUGUUUGAUUUAUGCCCUUGUACUUGCAUGACAACAUUUUCAGCUGAAUCCUGCACCAUUAAUGUCAGUGAACUUCUAUCACUGGUCAAUGGUCAAUAACUUACUAGAAUGUUCUGUUUUUUAUAAAUUGCUCUUAAGUUCUUUAUCUGCUCUUCUUUCCUGUUCCAUGGUUAUUUCUUCUCGGUCUGGUUAUUUAUGUUGAGACCAAUGAUGCAGCCUUCACCUCACAAGUUUGCAGCUUGAUCUCAGUAAUGUGCUAAGCUAAAGAAAACCUAGUUGUAGAGGCAGGUUGCUGAGUUAUAGUAAUUUUGAAAGCAUGUAAUAAGAGUUCUUAUUACAAAUGAAUUCUAUCAAGAAAAGAGAGCUCUCGGCAGGGAAAAAUACCCGCAUAGUACAGUACUAAUAAUUCCUGGGGGUGCCUCUGCUGGGUUGGUUUUUUCAUUCAUUUCUUCUUGUCUGAGAGCUCCACCUAAUGGAAUCGAAAGGAAGGUAUCUACCUUUCAGAUUUUCUAUAAAAAUCCCUCUCUUUACUUUCAUGCUGGUGUUUGUGUGUCGCCAGGACUGAGUGUGGGAGGAGGUGCAUCUUUUGACUUUUGGAGUAAAGGACAACUAGUGAACGGGAAAUUUGUAUUAUGUAAUCUCCUUUUUUACUAGCACAGGAUUUGGACUUACUGCAAUUUCUAUAAAGGCAAAUUUAAUAUAGAGGAACUAAAUAUCUCUGAAUUUUUGCACCCAGUUUGCUUAGCUGCAAGAUCUGUCAUCUUGCACAGUCAGGGCUUCUUACCUGUGCAUACCACUACUGCAUAUCACUGCAGCACUUUUCAGGGGUACAAAAUAAAUAGCUUUCAAGAUCAAGGCCCAAAUCUGCAGAGAGAAUAAAUGAGACCAUAGGACUACUCAUAUUCACACAAACUCAGGAGAAAAUGCUGUUGUUACGGCUCCAAAGUCUUUGAUGGCAAAGCAUUUCCAAAGAUUAAAUUUCCACCACCAGUAUUACCCCUGCAAACAUUCAGGAAUAAUUAAUGUCUGUCCCUUCCCUCUGCCCUCACCAAAGUAAUGUAUAAUCAUAAAAAUCAUGAACCUACCUUUUAUAUCACAUUGACUCCAGACUUUUAAAUUUUUUAUUGUUACUGCAAUAAUGUUUUCAAGGUUUUCUUUGCAAUAGGGAGGGGUAGAUAUUUCCCCUUUUUGCAGUGAAAGCUGAGAUCCUCACAGUAAGCAAGAUCCUUUGAUGUAGAAUGCCAUUAAACCUUCAGCCUAUAAAAACCAGGACAAUUGUGUGUAAUAUUUUUAAUAUCUUAACUCCAUUUCUGACAAGGUGUUAUUUUUCCUCAGCACAGAGAGUUAAACCAAACAGAAGAUGUAACAGGGCCAGCAAGAUGGCAACAUGAAUUCUUGAAAAUGCAAUGAGGAUGCUGUUUGUCGUGGAAUAUGUCAGACUAAGACUAAACCUGCCAGACUAAGAACAUUUUACUCUUCAAAGUCUAAGUAAAAGCCAAAGGAUGCUAUGUUAGGAAGAGGGCUGUGAGUGCUGACAGGUGUCUGAGGAAAGAGAGAAAAGGCCAUCAGCAGACAGGCAGCUUCUACUGUUGUAGAGAGAGAGAGCAGCUGAGUCAGAUGCUCUGUAUUUAAGGUUGCAGUGAAUGUCUGGGGGUCAGGUAAAAGGAAAUAUAUCCAGACAAUUGUGAUGUUUUAAACACUAUUUCAGUAUUCCAGGACUCAUACAGUAGUAUUAUUAUUGUAUUGAUAUUGUUGCAAAUAUUGUAUUAUAAGCCAUGGUAAACUGCUUCAAUUCAAAAAAGAAAGAAGAACUCCAAUAAAAUCCCUGUGUGACUUAGUAGAAAAGGUAAGGAGGUCACACUAUAGCAAAUUUCAA